rnacentral:rRNA from 1 species
AGAGUUUGAUCCUGGCUCAGAACGAACGCUGGCGGCAUGCCUAACACAUGCAAGUCGAACGAUGCUUUCGGGCAUAGUGGCGCACGGAUGCGUAACGCGUGGGAAUCUGCCCUUAGGUUCGGAAUAACAGUUAGAAAUGACUGCUAAUACCGGAUGAUGUCGAUAAGACCAGAGAUUUAUCGCCUGAGGAUGAGCCCGCGUAGGAUUAGCUAGUUGGUGUGGUAAAGGCGCACCAAGGCGACGAUCCUUAGCUGGUCUGAGAGGAUGAUCAGCCACACUGGGACUGAGACACGGCCCAGACUCCUACGGGAGGCAGCAGUGGGGAAUAUUGGACAAUGGGCGCAAGCCUGAUCCAGCAAUGCCGCGUGAGUGAUGAAGGCCUUAGGGUUGUAAAGCUCUUUUACCCGGGAUGAUAAUGACAGUACCGGGAGAAUAAGCCCCGGCUAACUCCGUGCCAGCAGCCGCGGUAAUACGGAGGGGGCUAGCGUUGUUCGGAAUUACUGGGCGUAAAGCGCACGUAGGCGGCUUUGUAAGUUAGAGGUGAAAGCCUGGAGCUCAACUCCAGAACUGCCUUUAAGACUGCAUCGCUUGAAUCCAGGAGAGGUGAGUGGAAUUCCGAGUGUAGAGGUGAAAUUCGUAGAUAUUCGGAAGAACACCAGUGGCGAAGGCGGCUCACUGGACUGGUAUUGACGCUGAGGUGCGAAAGCGUGGGGAGCAAA